UUGACUAUGCUCAAUCCCUAGCAUAUCCAGGAAAUCACUAGCCACGGAUUCAGUAACGUAAUCCAUGCUGAGGGAUUUUCCCUUCUUAAGCUCUUUAUAGUUCUCUUUAGCGUCCAAGUAACCAUCAUUCUUUAUAACUUCAUUCUCAUGUUCCCGAGAGUAUAAUCCCUCGUUUUCCAAGUCAGAGAAACUGUUUAAUGCAGACUCCAAUUCUCUCAUAAUUAAUUCUUUUGCUGACUCAUCUGUCUCAAAAUUGUUGGCACUCACUGCAAGGUCUUCAUUCUCACUGUCAAGAACCUCGGCCAAUAGUACAGGCUGGGCCGCCUCUUCAAUGGGCAUCUUCAAGGUACUAUCAGGUACAAGUGUUUCUGUCACAGCAUCAUCAACAGAUUCCACAAAAUCGUCUUCUUUUCCCUCCAGUUCCUUCAAGGAAUGUUCUAUGCCUUGCUCUAUAACAGAAAAAUCACCAAUUUCACACUCAUUUUCAACAUUUCCCUUCACAGGAUCUAAUAACAAGGCCAAUUCUGGUUUGAGGUUAUCAACAGUAUGAGAAAACACAUCAAUCUCUGGUUUGAACUCAAAUGGAGCUUCCAACUUCGCUUCCUCAAACUUCUGAUACAGCACUUCUACAGAUUUGUAGAGGUCAGAACUCGGCAGCGG
rnacentral:misc_RNA from 1 species